UACGGAGGGUGCAAGCGUUGUUCGGAAUUACUGGGCGUAAAGCGCACGUAGGCGGGUUUGCAAGUCGAUUGUGAAAGCCCCGGGCUCAAUCCGGGAAUUGCAGUCGAAACUGCUAAUCUUGAAUGCCCAAGAGGGUGACGGAAUUCCUGGUGUAGAAGUGAAAUUCGUAGAUAUCAGGAGGAACACCGGAGGCGAAGGCGGUUGCCUGGUGGUGCAUUGACGCUGAGGUGCGAAAGCGUGGGGAGCAAACAGG
rnacentral:rRNA from 1 species